GCCUGGCCAGGCCCUUGCUCCGGAGGAGUCACUGGAAAGUUCCAGGGAAUCUGGGCCUCCCAGACUCUCCACCGGCGUUUCACUGCUCCUUCCCCAUGCCAGGACUCCUCUGUGCCUACCUGGCUGAGGGCAGUGCCGAAUCCGGACCUUGGAAAGGACGCUGGUGCCACCCUUCAUCUGGGAAAGGUGCAAGGGGCGGAGGAUACCAAACCGAGUCUUCGCUCUGCGCUCUGUGCAGGCCUCCAGGAUCUUUGCCAAGGGUCUUGAGGAGCCAGGCACAGGAUUGGACUCUGCCCAGGCAGGAGAAUGAAGACAGUGACUUCCCCACAAAGACUCCCAGGAGAGGGCCAGAGGCAGGGAGGUGUGGUGGCAGGAGUGCCAGCCUUGCCAUGGGUAGACCAGGGGCCAGCGCUUGCUGAGUCGGGGUCCUGGCCGAGUUGUCUGGCCUCUCGGACCCUCGGUCUCCUCUUCUGUAAGAUGUGGGGCCCACAGCCCCUGCCCGGGGAGGUGUUGGCAGGGCCCCAUGAGGCCUCACGCACGGUGUGGCUACGGUCAUCUGUGAGCCGGCCAGAGGAUCAGAGAGGCAGCAGGGUGACUCAGCAGUUUCCCUGCCGGGCCGCCCCUGGGUCAUUGUCCCCUAGAACCUCUCCCUGAGGGGUGUGAGGGAGCAGAUCCCAUUACGAGUCGGAGGAGACAGGGAGGUCCUGGAACCA